CAGCAGCCACGGUAACACGUAGGUGGCAAGCGUUGUCCGGAAAUAUUGGGCGUAAAGCGCGCGCAGGCGGAUAGGUCAGUCUGUCUUAAAAGUUCGGGGCUUAACCCCGUGAUGAGAUGGAAACUGCCAAUCUAGAGUAUCGGAGAGGAAAGUGGAAUUCCUAGUGUAGCGGUGAAAUGCGUAGAUAUUAGGAAGAACACCAGUGGCGAAGGCGGCUUUCUGGACUGUAACUGACGCUGAGGCUCGAAAGCCAGGGGAGCGAACGGGAUUAGAUACCCGCGUAGUCCCUGUCUCUUAUACA
rnacentral:rRNA from 1 species